CCUACGGGUGGCAGCAGUGGGGAAUAUUGGACAAUGGGCGAAAGCCUGAUCCAGCCAUGCCGCGUGUGUGAAGAAGGCCUUCGGGUUGUAAAGCACUUUCAGUGGGGAAGAAAGCCUUGGGGCUAAUACCCUCGAGGAAGGACAUCACCCACAGAAGAAGCACCGGCUAACUCCGUGCCAGCAGCCGCGGGAAUACGGAGGGUGCGAGCGUUAAUCGGAAUUACUGGGCGUAAAGCGCGCGUAGGCGGUCUGAUAAGCCGGUUGUGAAAGCCCCGGGCUCAACCUGGGAACGGCAUCCGGAACUGUCAGGCUAGAGUGCAGGAGAGGAAGGUAGAAUUCCCGGUGUAGCGGUGAAAUGCGUAGAGAUCGGGAGGAAUACCAGUGGCGAAGGCGGCCUUCUGGACUGACACUGACGCUGAGGUGCGAAAGCGUGGGUAGCAAACAGGAUUAGAUACCCGGGUAGUC
rnacentral:rRNA from 1 species